rnacentral:rRNA from 1 species
AGACAGCAGUAGCCACGGGAAUACGUAUGGGGCGAGCGUUGUCCGGAAUUAUUGGGCGUAAAGGGUACGUAGGCGGUUUUUUAAGCCAGGUGUGAAAGCGUGAGGCUUAACCUCAUUAAGCACUUGAAACUGGAAGACUUGAGUGAAGGAGAGGAAAGUGGAAUUCCUAGUGUAGCGGUGAAAUGCGUAGAUAUUAGGAGGAAUACCGGUGGCGAAGGCGACUUUCUGGACUUUUACUGACGCUCAGGUACGAAAGCGUGGGGAGCAAACAGGAUUAGAUACCCCCGUAGUCCCUGUCUCUUAUACA